UACGUAGGGUGCAAGCGUUGUCCGGAAUUAUUGGGCGUAAGGAGCUUGUAGGCGGUCUGUCGCGUCUGCUGUGAAAAUCCGGGGCUCAACCCCGGACUUGCAGUGGGUACGGGCAGACUAGAGUGUGGUAGGGGAGACUGGAAUUCCUGGUGUAGCGGUGAAAUGCGCAGAUAUCAGGAGGAACACCGAUGGCGAAGGCAGGUCUCUGGGCCACUACUGACGCUGAGAAGCGAAAGCAUGGGGAGCGAACAGG
rnacentral:rRNA from 1 species